GUCACACUAUCAUUAACUGAAUCCAUAGGUUAAUGAGGCGAACCGGGGGAACUGAAACAUCUAAGUACCCCGAGGAAAAGAAAUCAACCGAGAUUCCCCCAGUAGCGGCGAGCGAACGGGGAGGAGCCCAGAGCCUGAAUCAGCAUGUGUGUUAGUGGAAGCGUCUGGAAAGGCGCGCGAUACAGGGUGACAGCCCCGUACACAAAAGCGCAUGUGCUGUGAGCUCGAUGAGUAGGGCGGGACACGUGGUAUCCUGUCUGAAUAUGGGGGGACCAUCCUCCAAGGCUAAAUACUCCUGACUGACCGAUAGUGAACCAGUACCGUGAGGGAAAGGCGAAAAGAACCCCGGCGAGGGGAGUGAAAAAGAACCUGAAACCGUGUACGUACAAGCAGUGGGAGC
rnacentral:rRNA from 1 species